GAGGUGUCACGUCACGGUAAGACACUAUUAACAAUCGUUGCAGCGGCUACAUUAACUUCUACUUUUCGGCUGGCCUGACCGCAAUGAAAAAAAAACAGGGCUGAAUAUGAGCUCUGCGGCUGCAUUCCAACAGCCUGCUGCCUCUGCCAUGAAAGGGCCCUUUGAGAGCUGAGAGGCCAAGACCACAGCACGGGUGAGGAGACGGCCAGUCGGGUGAGCAGCAGCAGCCGGUUGUAGGAGUGAAAUUGCUUCGGAGACGCUGGGGAUGCCGGAGGAGACGCAAAGGAACGGUGGGCGAAACCUCCGCGUACGUGACACCGGUGAUGCCAGCACUGACAAAAAGAAUCCUUUGAACUUAAUUUGAAGAUUUACA